rnacentral:lncRNA from 1 species
AAUUAAUAUGAUUAAUCUAGUUGCAUUCUACUAUGAUUUAUUUCAAAAAAAUUUUGAAAUACAUGUGUUGGAUAUAAAAUACCCCCCAGCCAAAGUUCGCAUCAGGAGUGACCCUCCCGAGGUUCUUCCGACGUCCGACCUUGGGCGACAUCUUUCCGAACCUCUCCGGCGGUCGAGCUUCCACAAUGUUCCCAAGUUCUACCGAUGGAUAAACUCACCCAGCUUCUUCCACAAGUGCCGAUCGGAUUCCCCCGAUGGAUGAACUCCUGCCGCAUCUCCCGGGCUUCUCCAGCGAUAAGCUUCUUUGAUCGUCUAUCAGGCUACCCCAAGUGCUCUCUGGAUUCUACUAUCGACCGACCUCCUACGAAGGUCAACCAUCCUCCAGACCCCUUCCGGAUCUUUUUCGACAGGAUUUGAUCGACUCCCAUUCGAAUUUCUUCCAGAACUACGUCAGUUCGUCAGUGGCCAAACUUUCCCAACAACAGAUCUUCAUGAUGGACGGGCUCCAUCCAAGUUUUUACGACAGUCGACCACCUUCUGGGUUUCAUCCGGGCUCCUACAGGAGCCAGACUUCUUCCCCGAACUCCUACUGCAGGUAGACUUCGUCUGAGCUCCUACGGGAGCCAGACUUCAGCCCUGAGCUCCCAUUGCAGGUAGACCUCAUCCGAAUUCUUACAAGGGCCGAACUCCGAGCCCCUACUACAAGCGAUCUACUCCGAGCUACUACUACAAGCGGUCUACUUCAAAUUUCUACCACGAGCGAUCCACGUCAGAUUUCUACUGUAAGCCUCCACCCGAGCUUCCCUUGUGAAUGAAUUCCUUUCGGACUUCUAUUGCAGGCAGGCUUCGAUCGAGCUUCCUCAACA